UUCCUUUACCAACAGUGGGUGAGACAAUGACUGUGAUGGUGGUGCUCCCAGUAUGAGGCUAUUCCAUUGCACUCCGGGUGUUAUGGCACCUGUGAUGUACCCAAGUGCGAAAUACUUGACUGCAAUAGUUUUGGUAGUGGGGGACUGCGUUCAUGUUUGCCUCUG